rnacentral:tRNA from 1 species
GAGGGUAUAGCUCAGUGGUAGAGCGUGUGCUUAGCAUGCGUGAGGUCCUGGGUUCAAUCCCCCGUACUUACA